CACAGAUCCACUCAGCAAUCACUCAGCAGAGAGACAUUUGGAACAAUGGCAUGAGAACAUAGGAGGAACAGCCUGGUUUAGUCAUAGGAUUGAGAAGAUAUUUGUAUAUGGCUCAGAAAAAUUUCCUGGAAUUAUUCAAAGCCUGCAAAGAUGGGAAUUUGUUCAGAGAUGACUCCCCCACUGUUUUCCCUCAGAUGGCCAAAAGUCCUACCAGCUGACCAUGAGAAAGGAAAAAAUAGCUGAAAGUUAGAAUCCUUGGAAGCCUUCUCUUGCAAUAUUUUCAUGGUCAAUAAAAAUACAGGAUGGAAAAUAACCUGGAAGAGGAAAUGGCAAAGACACUCCUGAGAGUGAUUAGGGAGGAUGGGUGAUCAGCAAAAGUGCCUUAGUGACAGGACAGACCAGGAAAAUCCUAGGAGCCAAGAAGUAACUCAGGAUGGAGUUUUUGCCAAUAGUUGUUACCGGAUGGCCUACAGAACAAUUUCAGAGAUUGGGUUUACUAUUUUGAAACAGGGAAUGGAAAAAAGAACUGACUCUCUCUCAAAGGAUGAGUUUUUAUGACAAUUAAUGGCAAAUGGAAAGGAUGGGAAGAAAGAAGAAACAUCUAAAAUAUAGAUUCCUGCUCUCCUACAAGAUAACCAUGUUUGACAGAUUAAAAAGAAAGUUCCCUGUUCUACUGCCGUCCUUUCUAACUAGGAAAAUGUGAAAUUCAGUAAAAGGAAGAUUCUUUGCCUGAAGCACUGACUGCUGAAUAUCGCAACUGGCCCACAGAUCAUCUCAGACUGAACUUUCAUUAAAUGUUUAUUUGUUUCUAAUAAAAUUUUAUGGUAAAUUUUAUUAAAGUUGACAAUUGAAAAAUUAAUGCAAACUGAAAAAACUAAAAGAAACAAAAGAAAAAAUAAAGUACAAAAAGGAAAGAAAAAUAGAAAAAAAAGUAAAAGAAGCAGUGAUGGAAUUCAUUUUUUUUACUACCUGUUAUGUGGUAGUGCCUUGGUGGGCAUGGUUGGCUUGGUGGGCGUGGCAGGGAAAGGAUACUGCAAAAUCCCCAUUCCCUCUCCACUCAUGGGGGAAGGUUAUUGCAAAAUCUCCAUUCCCACCCCACUUUGGGGCCAGCCAGAGAUGGUAUUUGCUGAUUCUCCAAACUACUCAAAAUUUCUGCUACUGGUUCU